rnacentral:rRNA from 1 species
CCUUGGAGUGGGAAAUAACCUGCCGAAAGGCGAGCUAAUGUCCCAUGUGGUAGCAAAGCUCAGGCUUUGUUAUUAAAGCUUUCGGGCGCUCCAGGAGGGGCUUGCGUCUGAUUAGCUAGUUGGUAGGGUCAUGGCCUACCAAGGCGAUGAUCAGUAGCUGGUCUGAGAGGAUGGCCAGCCAGAUGGGGACUGGGACACGGCCCCAACUCCUACGGGAGGCAGCAGCAAGGAAUCUUGGGCAAUGAGCGAAAGCUUGACCCAGCGACACCGCGUGAGGGAAUAAGGCCUUCGGGUUGUAAACCUCUUUUCUUGGGGAAGAAUCUUGACGGUACCCAAGGAAUAAGCCUCGGCCAACUACGUGCCAGCAGCCGCGGUAAUACGUAGGAGGCGAACGUUAUUCGGAUUUACUGGGCGUAAAGGGAGCGUAGGCGGUUUCUCAAGUCGAAUGUGAAAUCUUCUGCCUCAAUCAGAAGGCGCCAUUUGAUACUGAGGGACUUGAGAGCAGCAGAGGGAAAUGGAAUCUCCAGUGUAGCGGUGAAAUGUGUAGAUAUUGGAGAGAACACCAGUGGCGAAGGCGAUUUCCCAGGCUGUUUCUGACGCUGAGGCUCGAAAGCGUGGGGAGCGAAGCGGAUUAGAUACCCGCGUAGUCCACGCCCUAAACGGUGGACACUAGAUAUAGGAGGUAUCGACCCUUUCUGUGUCGAAGCUAACGCUUUAAGU